rnacentral:rRNA from 1 species
AAAAGCUCCGGCAGUAUAGGAUGGUCCCGCGUCUGAUUAGCUGGUUGGCGGGGUAACGGCCCACCAAGGCGACGAUCAGUAGCCGGCUUGAGAGAGUGGACGGCCACAUUGGGACUGAGACACGGCCCAAACUCCUACGGGAGGCAGCAGUGGGGAAUAUUGCACAAUGGGGGGAACCCUGAUGCAGCGACGCCGCGUGAGUGAAGAAGUAUUUCGGUAUGUAAAGCUCUAUCAGCAGGGAAGAAAAAAGACGGUACCUGACUAAGAAGCCCCGGCUAACUACGUGCCAGCAGCCGCGGUAAUACGUAGGGGGCAAGCGUUAUCCGGAAUUACUGGGUGUAAAGGGUGCGUAGGUGGCAUGGUAAGUCAGAAGUGAAAGCCCGGGGCUUAACCCCGGGACUGCUUUUGAAACUGUCAUGCUGGAGUACAGGAGAGGUAAGCGGAAUUCCUAGUGUAGCGGUGAAAUGCGUAGAUAUUAGGAGGAACACCAGUGGCGAAGGCGGCUUACUGGACUGUCACUGACACUGAUGCACGAAAGCGUGGGGAGCAAACAGGAUUAGAUACCCUGGUAGUCCACGCCGUAAACGAUGA